AUGCCCUCUACCUACCAGUCCAAGAAACUCCUAACAUUCCUGUAACAUUUUACACAGCCUGUCAGCCAUUAAAUUGCUCCCUCGAUCGAUCCUAAGGUUCCAAGCCCUCUUACUCUAUCGGAACUCCACAUCGAUCAUUUAUAUUCAGAUAUAAAACCAUAUAGUUUUUGUUCGUCAUCGAUUUAUAUAGCUCAAUUGCAGUUCUAGCUACUUGCUAAAAGCAGUUCUAUUUCUAGAGAGAGAUCGUUAUGCCUGGUUGGGGACCCCCGCCAGGAGGACCUCCGGGACCUCCAGGGCCGUGCGGUUGCUGUUGGUUUUGUUGCGAUGGCAUAAGCAGGCUCUUAUCUUCAUGUUGCUAUCUGCUGUUUUGCUGUUGCAUCUUUGAGAGCUGCUGUGGACCUGUGUUUGGAGGGCCUCCGCCCGGCGGGCCUCCUCCUCCCUUCUGAUAAACAACUUCGCGAUUAUAUAUUGUGUGUUUUUUUUUUUAUUGCAGUUGUUAUCUACUGUUUUGCUGUUGCAUCUUUGAGAGCUGCUGUGGACCUGUGUUUGGAGGGCCUCCGCCAGGACCUCAUGGCCACCACGGCGGGCCUCCUCCUCCCUUUUGAUAAACAAAUUCUCGAUUAUAUAUUGUGAGGUUUUUUUAAGCGUCUGGAUCAUCAGCUUGGUGAUGAUAGUGUGUUUUUCUUGGGUGUGUUGAUGAGUCAUGUAUUUAAUUUUCAUGGUUUAUUCAUUUAAAAUUUGCUCGAUCAGCUUCUCUAGAUCGUGCGGUGUAUAAAUUUUUCUGUAUGACUAAGAAAUAAUUUCAUGAAUCAAUAAAUUUCAUUACAUCAAGAGUUUCAA